rnacentral:lncRNA from 1 species
AUUUCAUCCCCCCCUUUAGUAAGAAUGAUGACAUCAUCAAGGUAACUUCCCUGCUUCUCUGUAAGGAAAGAACGUGUAUAGCCAUUUUUUCUCUUAAAGAAUUUUAUUAUCCUUAACAUAAUACAAUACAAAUGGAAAUUUUGUCUUGUCAUAGUCUAAGAAAAAUUAACUUCUGUGACAAAGAUGAUAUCCUAAUCACGUGUUUGAUCCCUUCCUUUUUCCCAUUUCAGAAAGAAACAAUACACGGAAUAUAAAAGGAGUAUGAAAAGAUCACUUGUGUAUUACCGUUGGAAACUUGUCACUAUGGCUAUGAAGCUGAAGAGUUUUAACUGGAAAUGGAACAGUUUUGGAGAUUAUCGAUUCUCUUCUUACUGUGAAAGGGGGUGGUGAGGUCACAGUUCUACAAUAAACCUUCUGGUCAGGAUUGCA